UACAGAGGUCCCAAGCGUUGUUCGGAUUCACUGGGCGUAAAGGGGUGCGUAGGUGGUCAGAUAAGUCUGAUGUGAAAUCUCUGGGCUUAACCCAGAAACUGCAUUGGAUACUAUCUGGCUAGAGGAGUGGAGGGGGGACUGGAAUACUUGGUGUAGCAGUGAAAUGCGUAGAUAUCAAGUGGAACACCAGUGGCGAAGGCGAGUCCCUGGACACUUCCUGACACUGAGGCACGAAAGCUAGGGGAGCAAACAGG
rnacentral:rRNA from 1 species